GCUUCCAGGAAAAGCCUCUAAGCAUCAGGUAACAUCAAAUCGUACCCCAAACCGACACAGGUGGUCAGGUAGAGAAUACCAAGGCGCUUGAGAGAACUCGGGUGAAGGAACUAGGCAAAAUGGUGCCGUAACUUCGGGAGAAGGCACGCUGAUAUGUAGGUGAAGCGACUUGCUCGUGGAGCUGAAAUCAGUCGAAGAUACCAGCUGGCUGCAACUGUUUAUUAAAAACACAGCACUGUGCAAACACGAAAGUGGACGUAUACGGUGUGACGCCUGCCCGGUGCCGGAAGGUUAAUUGAUGGGGUUAGCGGCAACGCGAAGCUCUUGAUCGAAGCCCCGGUAAACGGCGGCCGUAACUAUAACGGUCCUAAGGUAGCGAAAUUCCUUGUCGGGUAAGUUCCGACCUGCACGAAUGGCGUAAUGAUGGCCAGGCUGUCUCCACCCGAGACUCAGUGAAAUUGAACUCGCUGUGAAGAUGCAGUGUACCCGCGGCAAGACGGAAAGACCCCGUGAACCUUUACUAUAGCUUGACACUGAACAUUGAGCCUUGAUGUGUAGGAUAGGUGGGAGGCUUUGAAGUGUGGACGCCAGUCUGCAUGGAGCCGACCUUGAAAUACCACCCUUUAAUGUUUGAUGUUCUAACGUUGGCCCGUAAUCCGGGUUGCGGACAGUGUCUGGUGGGUAGUUUGACUGGGGCGGUCUCCUCCUAAAGAGUAACGGAGGAGCACGAAGGUUGGCUAAUCCUGGUCGGAUAUCAGGAGGUUAGUGCAAUGGCAUAAGCCAGCUUGACUGCGAGCGUGACGGCGCGAGCAGGUGCGAAAGCAGGUCAUAGUGAUCCGGUGGUUCUGAAUGGAAGGGCCAUCGCUCAACGGAUAAAAGGUACUCCGGGGAUAACAGGCUGAUACCGCCCAAGAGUUCAUAUCGACGGCGGUGUUUGGCACCUCGAUGUCGGCUCAUCACAUCCUGGGGCUGAAGUAGGUCCCAAGGGUAUGGCUGUUCGCCAUUUAAAGUGGUACGCGAGCUGGGUUUAGAACGUCGUGAGACAGUUCGGUCCCUAUCUGCCGUGGGCGCUGGAGAACUGAGGGGGGCUGCUCCUAGUACGAGAGGACCGGAGUGGACGCAUCACUGGUGUUCGGGUUGUCAUGCCAAUGGCACUGCCCGGUAGCUAAAUGCGGAAGAGAUAAGUGCUGAAAGCAUCUAAGCACGAAACUUGCCCCGAGAUGAGUUCUCCCUGACUCCUUGAGAGUCCUGAAGGAACGUUGAAGACGACGACGUUGAUAGGCCGGGUGUGUAAGCGCAGCGAUGCGUUGAGCUAACCGGUACUAAUGAACCGUGAGGCUUAACCUU
rnacentral:rRNA from 1 species